rnacentral:rRNA from 1 species
GAUGAACGCUGGCGGCGUGCCUAAUACAUGCAAGUCGAGCGAACGGACGAGAAGCUUGCUUUUCUGAUGUUAGCGGCGGACGGGUGAGUAACACGUGGAUAACCUACCUAUAAGACUGGGAUAACUUCGGGAAACCGGAGCUAAUACCGGAUAAUAUUUUGAACCGCAUGGUUCAAAAGUGAAAGACGGUCUUGCUGUCACUUAUAGAUGGAUCCGCGCUGCAUUAGCUAGUUGGUAAGGUAACGGCUUACCAAGGCAACGAUGCAUAGACGACCUGAGAGGGGGAUCGGCGACACUGGAGCUGGGACGCGGACAAGACUACUACGGGAGGCAGCAGUAGGGAAUGGUCCGCAAUGGGCGAAAGCCUGACGGAGCAACGCCGAGUGAGUGAUGAAGGUCGUCGGAUCGUAAAACUCUGUUAUUAGGGAAGAACAUAUGUGUAAGGAACUGUGCACAGCUUGACGGUACCUAAUCAGAAAGCCACGGCUAACUACGUG